GACGUAGGGCGCGAGCGUUGUCCGGAUUUAUUGGGCGUAAAGAGCUCGUAGGCGGUUUGUCGCGUCGUUCGUGAAAACUCACAGCUUAACUGUGAGCUUGCGGUCGAUACGGGCAGGCUAGAGUUCGGUAGGGGAGACUGGAAUUCCUGGUGUAGCGGUGAAAUGCGUAGAUAUUGGGAAGAACACCUGAGGCGAAGGCGGGUUGCUGGGCCGACACUGACGCUGAGGCGCGAAAGCCAGGGGAGCGAACGGG
rnacentral:rRNA from 1 species